rnacentral:rRNA from 1 species
GACGAACGCUGGCGGCGUGCAUAACACAUGCAAGUCACGGGGGCCAGCAAUGGCAACCGGCGAACGGGUGCGUAACACGUAAGCGACCUACCUCGAUGUGGGGCAUAGCCGGCCUAACGGCCGGGUAAUUCCGCAUGUGAUCCUUGAGGGGCAUAUCUCGGGGAUGAAACCAGUAAUGGGCAUUGAGAGGGGCUUGCGGCCUAUCAGCUUGUUGGCGGGGUAACGGCUCACCAAGGCGACGACGGGUAGCUGGUCUGAGAGGAUGGCCAGCCACAUUGGGACUGAGAAACGGCCCAGACUCCUACGGGAGGCAGCAGUGGGGAAUCUUGCGCAAUGGCCUAACGGCUGACGCAGCGACGCCGCGUGAGGGAUGAAGCUCCUCGGAGUGUAAACCUCUGUUGCCCGGGACGAA